rnacentral:rRNA from 1 species
UACGUAGGGGGGCAAGCGUUGUCCGGAAUCACUGGGCGUAAAGCGCGCGCAGGCGGUCAUCUACGUCUGGGGUGAAAGCCCGGAGCUCAACUCCGGGAUUGCCUUGGAUACGGGAUGACUUGAGGAUCGGAGAGGCAAGGGGAAUUCCACGUGUAGCGGUGAAAUGCGUAGAGAUGUGGAGGAACACCUGUGGCGAAGGCGCCUUGCUGGCCGAUUUCUGACGCUGAGGCGCGAAAGCUAGGGGAGCGAACGGG